rnacentral:rRNA from 1 species
GUUCACAUCGACGGCGGUGUUUGGCACCUCGAUGUCGGCUCAUCACAUCCUGGGGCUGAAGCCGGUCCCAAGGGUAUGGCUGUUCGCCAUUUAAAGUGGUACGCGAGCUGGGUUUAGAACGUCGUGAGACAGUUCGGUCCCUAUCUGCCGUGGACGUUGGAGAUUUGAGGAAAGCUGCUCCUAGUACGAGAGGACCGGAGUGGACGAACCUCUGGUGUUCGGGUUGUGACGCCAGUCGCAUUGCCCGGUAGCUAUGUUCGGACAGGAUAACCGCUGAAAGCAUCUAAGCGGGAAGCCCCUUCCAAGAUGAGAUCUCCCUGGACCCUCGAGGUCCCUGAAGAGCCGUUCAAGACCAGGACGUUGAUAGGUCGG